GCCGGGCAUGGUGGCACAUGCCUGUACUCCCAGCUACUCAGGAGGCUGAGGUGGGAGGAUCACUUGAGCCUGGGUGGUCGAAGCUACAGUGAGUCAUGGCUGCACCACUGUACUCCAGCCUGGGCAACAGAGUGAGACCCCAUCUCUC
rnacentral:SRP_RNA from 1 species